UGGGGAAUAUUGCACAAUGGGCGCAAGCCUGAUGCAGCGACGCCGCGUGGAGGAUGAAGGCUUUCGAGUUGUAAACUCCUGUUAAGUGGGAAGAAAGACUGUUGGCUAAUAGCCAAUGGGGAUGACGGUACCACUAGAGAAAGCACCGGCAAACUUCGUGCCAGCAGCCGCGGUAAUACGAAGGGUGCAAGCGUUAUUCGGAGUUACUGGGCGUAAAGAGUAUGUAGGCGGUUUAUUAAGUUAGUUGUUAAAUUCCACGGCUUAACUGUGGUUGUGCAGCUAAUACUGAUGAGCUAGAGCGCAGAAGAGAGGAGUGGAAUUCCCGGAGUAGCGGUAAAAUGCGUAGAUCUCGGGAGGAACACCGGUUGCGAAGGCGGCUUCUUGGUCUGUGGCUGACGCUAAAGUACGAAAGCGUGGGUAGCAAACAG
rnacentral:rRNA from 1 species